GUGCACGCUGGCGGUAGGCCUAACACCUGCAAGUCGCACGGCAGCACAGUAAGAGCUUGCUCUUACGGGUGGCGAGUGGCGGACGGGUGAGGGAUACAUCGGAAUCUACUUUUUCGUGGGGGAUAACGUAGGGAAACUUACGCUAAUACCGCAUACGACCUACGGGUGAAAGCAGGGGAUCUUCGGACCUUGCGCGAUUGAAUGAGCCGAUGACGGAUUAGCUAGUUGGCGGGGUAAAGGCCCACCAAGGCGACGAUCCGUAGCUGGUCUGAGAGGAUGAUCAGCCACACUGGAACUGAGACACGGUCCAGACUCCUACGGGAGGCAGCAGUGGGGAAUAUUGGACAAUGGGCGCAAGCCUGAUCCAGCCAUACCGCGUGGGUGAAGAAGGCCUUCGGGUUGUAAAGCCCUUUUGUUGGGAAAGAAAAGCAGCAGGUUAAUACCCCGCUGUUCUGACGGUACCCAAAGAAUAAGCACCGGCUAACUUCGUG
rnacentral:rRNA from 1 species